CAGCAGCCGCGGUAAUACAGAGGAUGCAAGCGUUAUCCGGAAUGAUUGGGCGUAAAGCGCACGUAGGCGGAUAUUUAAGUCAGGGGUGAAAUCCCAGAGCUCAACUCCGGAGCUGCCUUUGAUAUUGGGUAUCUUGAGUAUGGAAGAGGUGAGUGGAAUUCCGAGUGUAGAGGUGAAAUUCGUAGAUAUUCGGAGGAACACCAGUGGCGAAGGCGGCUCACUGGUCCAUUACUGACGCUGAGGUGCGAAAGCGUGGGGAGCAAACAGGAUUAGAUACCCCAGUAGUCCCUGUCUCUUAUAC
rnacentral:rRNA from 1 species